rnacentral:rRNA from 1 species
GGGCCCGCACAAGCGGUGGAGCAUGUGGUUUAAUUCGAUGCAACGCGAAGAACCUUACCUACUCUUGACAUCCAUAGAACUUAGCAGAGAUGCUUUGGUGCCUUCGGGAACUAUGAGACAGGUGCUGCAUGGCUGUCGUCAGCUCGUGUUGUGAAAUGUUGGGUUAAGUCCCGCAACGAGCGCAACCCUUAUCCUUGUUUGCCAGCGAGUAAUGUCGGGAACUCCAGGGAGACUGCCGGUGAUAAACCGGAGGAAGGUGGGGACGACGUCAAGUCAUCAUGGCCCUUACGAGUAGGGCUACACACGUGCUACAAUGGCGCAUACAGAGGGCGGCCAACUUGCGAAAGUGAGCGAAUCCCAAAAAGUGCGUCGUAGUCCGGAUUGGAGUCUGCAACUCGACUCCAUGAAGUCGGAAUCGCUAGUAAUCG